rnacentral:rRNA from 1 species
UACGUAGGGUGCAAGCGUUAUCCGGAAUUAUUGGGCGUAAAGAGCUCGUAGGCGGUUUGUCGCGUCUGCUGUGAAAACUGGAGGCUCAACCUCCAGCCUGCAGUGGGUACGGGCAAACUAGAGUGCGGUAGGGGAGAUUGGAAUUCCUGGUGUAGCGGUAGAAUGCGCAGAUAUCAGGAGGAACACCGAUGGCGAAGGCAGAUCUCUGGGCCGUAACUGACGCUGAGGAGCGAAAGCAUGGGGAGCGAACAGG